rnacentral:misc_RNA from 1 species
GAUGAAGAACGUAGUGAAAUGCGAUAAGUAAUGUGAAUUGCAGAAUUCAGUGAAUCAUCGAAUCUUUGAACGCACAUUGCGCCCGCCAGUAUUCUGGCGGGCAUGCCUGUCCGAGCGUCAUUUCAACCCUCGAACCCCUCCGGGGGGUCGGCGUUGGGGAUCGGCCCUGCCUCUGGCGGUGGCCGUCUCCGAAAUACAGUGGCGGUCUCGCCGCAGCCUCUCCUGCGCAGUAGUUUGCACACUCGCAUCGGGAGCGCGGCGCGUCCACAGCCGUUAAACACCCAACUUCUGAAAUGUUGACCUCGGAUCAGGUAGGAAUACCCGCUGAACUUAAGCAUAUCAAUAAGCGGAGG